AACGCGAGGGAGUCCCUGUCGGUGAUCGUGCCACCUCAGGACGUGGACGUGGACUCGCGUGACGCCGACUCGGAGCUCCUCAGUCCGGGCAAGCUAACGCCGACGUCGGGGAUAAGCGUCUCGGUCGCGAGUAUGAUCGACGCGACGGACUUCAGGGCGAUGCAGCCGGAGCCGACCUAUCAGACGCUGACCUCGGUCGCGGAAAGGAUGUCGCCGCCCGGCUUCAGUCCUGGUUCCUCUUACGCGACCCUGACGCCGUUACAGCCGUUACCGCCGAUCUCGACGAUGAGCGACAAGUUUGUAUACAGUGCACACGCGGCUGGCGGCGUUACCGGUAGUUUCGCGGUGAUGCAAAACAACGGCCUCGGGAACAUCGGCCUCGGGAUGGGUAGCUCGCCGUACGCGUACGACAAAUUGCCCUCGAUGGGCAUGUCGCCGCCGCACAAUUACGCCUCGCCGGGCGCGGGCCUUCAGCCGAGUCCUCUGUCACCGCAGAGCGCCUACAGUCAGAGCGGACUCAAUUCGCCGCACAAGUCCGCCAGUCCUCACUACGAUCCGGCCUUUUUGCCGAGGUUGCAGCAGAGUCCGGCGGCCCUUAGUCCUUCCUCGCCGCCGGCUGUUUCGGCGACGGCCAGUUUCGCGCCUUCGCAUCAUUCCCCGCCCACGCAUUCCGUGCCGGCUGCAUCGCCGCCUCCCAUGCAGACGCAGCUGCAGCAACAACAGCAACAGCAGCAGCAGCAACAACAACAACAGCAACAACAGCAGCAGCAGCAACAGUCGAUGCCGCAGCAAACGAUCGCGCACACGCAGCACGUGCAGCACACCUCGGUCGUGAUGAAGACGGUGUCGUCGGCAGGGAACGGAGCCGGCGAGGUCGAGGAGAUCAACACCAAAGAACUGGCACAGAGGAUCAGCGCCGAGUUGAAGAGAUACAGCAUACCGCAGGCGAUAUUCGCACAGAGGGUUCUCUGCCGUAGUCAGGGUACCCUCAGCGAUCUGCUCCGCAACCCGAAGCCCUGGUCCAAGCUCAAGAGCGGCCGAGAGACCUUUCGACGGAUGUGGAAGUGGCUACAGGAGCCCGAGUUUCAAAGAAUGUCGGCCUUGCGGCUAGCAGCCCUGAGCAACUGCUCUGAGAGCGGAGGCGAGCCGGAAGCCAUGCUGGAUAUCCACCACCCAGGAACCGGUCUCGAGACUCACCAUCAACAGUUUCACAACUCAUAUGCUGCACAGAUUCCACAACGCGGAACAUGCAAGAGGAAAGACGAGAUGGCGAGCCAGGCAGAACACCAACAGCCCGCCCCCAAGAAACCGCGCCUGGUUUUCACAGACCUUCAGCGCCGUACUCUACAGGCUAUUUUUAAAGAGACCAAGAGGCCGUCGAAAGAGAUGCAGGUGACAAUCGCCAGGCAGCUGGGCCUGGAGCCGACGACGGUCGGCAACUUCUUCAUGAACGCUCGACGCCGCUCCAUGGACAAGUGGAAGGACGAGGACCCGAAGACCGUCGCGGUCGAUGAGGGACAGCUAUCACCCACAAUAGGUAUCGGGCAACGACAGCCAAGCGAUGUUUUGUGACACACGUCCGACCACGAGGAGUACCACGACGAGUCACCCGAAGAAGAUUUGCCCUUCUCGUAAGGGCAGCGCGUUUCACGCGACGCGACGCGACGCGUUGCUUUGAUUUCGAACGAGAGGAUAUCUCCAACUGACCUGGAACGUCAGUUUUUCACGCGUUCAGAAUUCUUUGCGAUAGGCGAUUGGGAUUCGUUUCGAUAACGCGACGAUAACCACGGGACCGUAUCGAUGAAUUUUUCUCACGAUUGGAUACCGUUAUUGGAUAUACAGAUCAACGAGACCUUUAGGUCCGUGCGUUGUAAGCGCUUGGACAAACGGUAUCGUUCGAGGUCACCAGUCAUCGAAGAAACUUGUCCAAGAUUAAUUUAUAUUUAUCGGUCUAAUUUCGUCCAGUUACGAAUCCCACCUUCGUUUCCUUGUCGAGUAAUCUACCGGAACGAACUGACGAUAUCAUCGAAACCGUUCGACGGUCGACGCUUUCAAGGUUUUCGGAACUUUUUUAAAAGCUUCGAGAAUUUCCGUCGAGUCCCACGGUUGACCGAAUUUCGUAACGUUUCAACUGAAAGCAGAACGAAUUUCAAGGCAAAACCGGUCAUUCUUCGAACUACCACGCAACGACGUCAUUAUCUUAUAACCACGCCUGGAAAAUCGUCUGGAAAGCACGGCCGCUGUGAUCAUUUUUUAACGACGACCAUCCGUAACGCGUGCGGCAGUAUUGUCCGUGAAUAUUAUAGUCGAGCUCCUCCACGUCGACCAACACACCGGCAAAAACCAUUUCGUUUCAAACUAUUCGUCGCGAUUCGAUUCUAUGGUAAAAAGAAUUUCCGGUUCUGUCGUUAUUUUGCGAAUACUUUUUACGCGGAGGGACUUUAUUUUAUCGAGGAAAUACUAUACGUUGGAAAUAUAAAAAAUAGCUUUGUCGUCACAAAAUUUCCUGUUCUUUGGAAAAUUGUAUCUCGAUGUCGACGAUCUAUUCGAUUAAAAUGAAUAGGUAAUCGCGCGGUAAUAAACAUACAUGACGUUCCAGAGAUCGAAAUCGAGCAUCGUCUAGCGGCGUCGAAGGAAACCGUGCCAGCCGUCGUUUUUCGGAUCCGAGAAACUCUCUCCCUCCUUCGAUAUCGAGCUCGUGAGAUCGUCUAAAAUGUGACGAAAAUUACACUUGGACGAAUCGUUCGAGACUUCGAAUCGAACCUCUCCGGAAACUUGGUGCCAUAAUUUGCCAUACUAGAUUAAGCUACCUUUCUCCGCCGUGGGUGGUUCAUCCCCUCGAUGUGAAACACUUUCUAGUCUACGCGUGUCGAAGUGCUUCUCCGAAGAACGCCAUUUUUUAUCUAGUCAAAAUUGCGAAAGACGCGCUUCGGAUUGUUUUAAUCGGUGCUCGUAAGCUUCUUCGACGCGGAACGGGCGACGUUGAGAUGAAUUCCAACGCGUUCGAUCUCGAGGCGUUGAGAUUUUAAGUUGCGUAACCGUGAAAGGAAACGAUACUUUUCUCUCGAACGCGGUAACCCUUUGCGAUUCGUCUUCUCGUCUAGAGAGCAGCCGGUGUUAAUUUAAAAAAAGAUGCCCUUCACGUCGAGCGCGAAGAUACUUUUUUAAUACUAUAAUAAAUGUUUUAAAGAAUGGAGUGUUUUAGUGCCAUGUGGACAGUUUUCGUGCCAUGUUCUAUUUAAGAUAAGGAAAGAAAUAUCGAAGAGACGUGGCUGGCUCAACGCGGAAUCGCAAAGGGUUUCAAACUUGCACGAAUUUAGAAAAGUGCAACAUUUCGCUUGAAAAAGGAAUAUUUUUACUGAAAUCGAGGAAGCCUACGAUUUAGAACGAUCGAUUUCGUCGCUUUAAAGGAUCGAUAGACAGAAAAAUGUAGCCCGAAAGUUUAUUUAUACAAUCCGACUUACAAAACGAAAUUCAAUUUCGCGUCAAAGAAACAAAAGAUCAGAUUUUAAAACUUCUUCCGAUAAUUCUGGAAUAUCUCCUGUGGUAGGAAAAAAGAAAAUAGUUGAUUAAACUCCAGUUCGGCAACGAUGAUUUUAAAGCGACAAUGCCUCGAUUUGCGAAUAAAAGUAGUCCGUAAAAAUUCAAGAAACAGAGGGUGUUGGAAACCGAGGGAGAGAGAGACUUUGUUCCGAAAGUCGUCGACGCAAGAGGGUGCAGCGUUCAGGACUCGUCGUGUCCUCGUUGGUCGCUAAAAGGGACAACCUAACGAACCCGUUAAAACUGAACAAGAACGCGAACAAGAACAGCUUCGUUUCUUAACACAUCACACUCAUACGCGACAAACGUAAACAUGCGCGCGCACAUACACACACAUACACACAUACACAUACAAAAAUAUGCAAAACAAAAAAGUGGCAUCGUGUCGAGGGUGCACGUGCCAAGUGAUAUAUUCUAUGUAUGUAAUAAACAUUGUAUAUCAGAGUGGACGCUGUUUUGUGCGAAUCGACGAAGAAGAGGAGACGGGACACGAGACGUACGGAGGGUGAUCGUUCGCGAGAAUUAGUGGAUCAGUGUUCACCGACAUGCGAAGAGAGAGCAAAGAGAGAGAGAGAGAGAGAGAGAGAGAGAGAGAGAGGGAGGAAAAAAGAGCGAGCGAGCAUGCGAAAGACUUAAUGAACCGCACUCGAUACCGAAUCGUAAUUGUGCUGUGCUAUUGUACAUAUUAAAGAGCGAGAGAAGCGACACGCGAGAGAGAGAAAGAGACACACACGUAUACACUCAUACACACAUACACGUACAGAGGCGUUCGAUUGCGUGAAAGAGCAGUGAUCGAACAGACUGAAAAGAAAAGAACCACCGAUUUUCAGUAAGGAAAAGAGGUGGCUUCUUUUCGCGUUUCCCGCUUGCACGCGAACCGUUCCUCGUCUUGAAAAAUUUUACGUUUGUUUUGCGUUCGAUUAUUAAAUUAUUUUUAAGUGGACAGGCGACUCCACCGGGACCUCCUUCGCGCAAAGUUAUUCAUUUUCGACUUCGAAACGGUAUUGGGUUCUACAAAUAUUUUGGAAUAUCUGAAAAAUAUUUGUCUGCAAGUCAAAGAGCAACGGUUAUACAUUAGUAAUCGAGCAAUCUUUAUCGAAGACCUGUCGUACAUGGUUGCGUAUUUUGUUUUUGUUUCCUUUUCUCUUUGAAUCCGACCGAUGAACAACGUUAAGAUACUUUUGCUUACUUUUGCUAAAUAUUUAGUGCUCGAAUGUUAGUUAUGACAUUUAGGAUGUUUGUGAAAAUUCUCGAUUAUUUUCACCAUCUAAAUUGGAAUCAUCGAUGUUUCGCGAAGACAUCGAGUUGUUUGUAGGAGGGCCCGAUGUAAGAUGCGCUAAAAUAAGAAUCUUCUAUACUAGUCGAUACUAUAUCUCUACGUUGAAGCGUCGAAAUAACAAACUGAAAAGACAUGUCCGUCGAUGUUUCGAGCUUUGAGCUUCUUCGAGUUCCCAGGGAUUCAAAUUCUGCGUUCAUCGGAUUGUUUGCGCAAAGGAUACUCGGUAUCCUUUUUCUUUUCUUAAUCGAAUUUCAAGCUGGCCAGUGAGCGAAACGUCGGUUUGUCCGGAGGUCACCGCGUCGAGAUGAACGUUAAACUUAUCGUACCAAAAAUAAGAAACCACAGAGGAAACGGAAGCGACCGGGUCGCGGCCGUCGAUUAUAAGAUCAUAUAUAGUACAAAGUAAACAUAUAUUAUUGUAAUAACAGUUUAAAUUAAAUAUAAGAGGAGCGUCGCUGUUUCAACGGGGUGUGUAAGAAAAUGGUGAUACGAGAAGGAACGUUUCGACCAUUGGGUCGAGGAACGUGACUUUACACUUUAAACUUUAAACUUCAAAGUGACGCGUGAAAAAAGGAGAAAUGGAGGUCGCGAGCGGGCGAUAGCUUCGAGCGUCGAGUUUUCAUAGAAGUUUCCUCGUCCGGCGUGGUUCCGUCUCGUUGUCGGACGCGAUGUAACCCGCGCGACGAUGUUACACUCGAGGUUCUCACCAUUCGAAGAUGGCUCCACUUUUUUCGUCGGUUGCGCAACAUCUGCUCUGCGCAAGGUAUCGGACAGCGAACAGUUCUCGAGAGGUACGCGACAUCGGAGCAACAAAACAACUGAAAACGAAGUCGAUCAGAGGACCUGGUACCGUACUACCGAUUAUCGGGAAAACAGGGAGCGAAAGGAAAUGGAUAGAUGUUUUCUGGACGGAAGGAAAAAGAGAUCUUGUUUCAACGCUAUAGCAAUAGAUCAAACAUCGCGAAUACACAGACUAGAGGAGACUCGGAAAAGUUUGGAGUGACGUAACAAGUUGCAAAGCCAAAUUGCAUUCGCGGACAUUGAAUGAUGGUAUUCGCAAGAUCCAGAAAAGAGCAAAAUUUGUGAAUUUAAAACCAAAAUGAAAACCAAAGCAAUAACGAAUCUACGUGGGAGGAAACGAGCGGGUGGUCGCGAAGUUUAAGAAGUAAAGUAGAAUUUUUACAUACCAAGCAAAAGUCGGAUCGAGCAAGAUUUCCAAAUAAAAAAUGGAUCGUAAUAGCAGGAUGUUGCCCGAGGUUCGUCCGUUUCAACCCUUGAAUGUAAUAUCGCGGUAGAGCAAGCCACGGGGAGGGGAGGGCGGGGGGAGCAUAAAGGCGAUGGUCGCAUCGUGACAAGGAAAAGAUCUCGCGCGCUCAGUUGGUCGCGAUCCGACUCGAGGGGAAGACGUCGCAGGGAGAACGAAACACGGACGAAACGACGCGCGAAGGGAUCUUUAUCCGUACGAUAAGCCUGUACAUAGACGAUUAAUCGCGAUUAUCAAUUACGCCGUUAUCAUCGUCACCUUUGUCGCUAUUAUUCUUCUUAUUACGUUUAUUUGUAUUAUUCCUGUUGCCAUUAAUGCGAUUUUUAUUCCUGUAACGAGACGAUUGAUUAUUAUGUAAGUAUACCGUAAACAUGUUCUUUGUUAAAGUGAGAGAAAGAGAGAGUGAAAGUGGGGCGGGGAGGCCGGGCAGGGGGAAUGCAGAACUGAGAUUAAGGGGAAAUUUAAUUAGCACAGUUAUUCGAGAAAUUUUUAGAGCUGACAAGAGCUGACGGGUCGUGAACAGAACAAACACAACAGUAACAGCAACAGGAGCAUCAACAACAACAACAACAACAACAACAACAACAACAGUAAUAAAAUAUCGCGAUCGAGUUGAAAAACGAUUAAAAUAGGAUUAGAGAAAGGUCAAGGGCGUAAAGGGUUGCGUUAUCGUAAAUAAAAUUGGAAUCCGAAAGACACGCACGCUAGGUACACGCGAAACAGAACAUUAAAGCAAGAACAUAGUAUAUAAUUAUAUAUAUACUAUAUAUAUAUAUAUAAAUAUACAUAAAAUAUAAAUAUAUAAAUAUAAAUAUGAAUAUAAAUAUAAAUAUAAAUGAAUGAUAUAUUAUAUAUAUAAAUAUAUAAAUAUAAUUGCCAUUUUCAGGCAUCCAGGGGUAGUUAGAGAAUAUGGGGUGGGGUGGGUGGGCUAGGGUGGGACGAAGAUACAUAUAUUUAGUAUAGCGAAAAGCCCAGCGAUCGAAUGGAGGGGUGUCGUUGCCGGGAUAUUCCGGUGUCGAUCGAUCGACGAUCGGCGAACACGUGUAAUUAGAAGAAGACCGCGAGACGAGACAUAACGCGCGACCUAGUUCUACCGAGGGUUCGAAGAUAACACGGACAAAUUAAUAGGAGCAGAGAAAGAUGUCGAGAGGAAGGUUUUUUUUUUUCAGGAAACUCUAGAUCGAGAGACAUCCCCAUUUAUUCGCUAUAUUUUCAUAUCGCAACAAUUAUCGAUUUAUCCUGUUUCUAGAAGAAAAUAUUCGCGUGACCAAGUGUCAAUCUAAACUUUGAAGAUAGACGAACGAAGCACCGUUAGCUCGAUGCUUUUUACACCAACGGUAACAUCAACGGUCAAGCUGUAAUAUAAUACGCGUGACAUCCUCGUUCUCUCGGCUCGAUUAAUUUGUCGGUAUCGUUCCAAGACAGCCAGUACACAAUAUUAGCGAUACACGGUACCUCGUCUCAAAUCGAGGACGAUGACGAACAGAAACACGGAAGAAAUACUCGAACCGUUAAUUCCGAGCUAAGAUUUAUUCCGCGAGGGUGCAAAAUAAGCGUGGUCUUUCGCCGAGCAGUGUACGCCAUUCCCCGUAACGAUUCGUAUCAAUUCGACGAAUGUUCAGGGGAUGUUCGGUGGCAUACGGCGAAGGAACCUCGAGACGAAGGUGAAUGAACAUAUAUAAAUAUAAAUAUAUAAAUAUAUAUUAAAGAAAAAAGAGAAAUAAUAGUAAUAACGAUAAAAAAGGGAAUAAAACGUAGAGACUAAGAGAAUCUAUUUCGGAUCCGUGUAUGUAUACGCGUUUUUUUAUAUUGCAACGAUGCGAGUCGCGCGCGCGAGUUUUAAAUCGGUAGAUACGAGAAAAGUUAGGAGAGGGGGGGAUAUUAAGUUAACCCUUGGACUCGGCAAGAUAUGCGGAGCGGAGGUAAUCAACGUUGGACGAAUGUUGAGUAAUAUAUUAUAUGGGAUAUAUUAUAUUAUUAUAUAGCACGCGUAAAAAUGGUGGAGAGGUUAGGGGACCGGUUUCUGUCCUCGUCUCGGCUACUCGUUUCGUAGAUAGAGGCUCGUUUUCUUUUAACUAGAAUUAUUUCGUUUCUCGUUGUUGACUUCUGGGACGAAGACCGUCAAUGCGUUUCUCGACAAAACGAUCCCACUUGAUUAUAUUAGGCCGGGUUUAAUGUCCUUUUUGUAUCGUACAGUUCUGUUUGAUACAGUUGAAUGUUCGAUGUUGCUCGAAAAAGGAAUAACAAUUUGCUUAAUAAAGACCACAGUUGACGAAAAUACAAUGAUACGGACUCGUAGUAAAAUAAAACAUAGCCGAAUCGCGAGAAACGCUGCGAAGCUUCGUUUUUCAUUCGCUCGAAUCCGUCGCGAGCGAGCAGCGGGAGAAACGCAGGGCAGAAACCCCUUCAGGACUACAGGGAGAAAUGUCCGAGAGCCCGUGGUCGCGUCUCGCGGCCAUUCGUUAACUAAUUAUCUGUUGAUCGGAUCGGUGGAAGAUCGAAAGACGACAGAAGAAAACACACGAGUGUGGUGCGUGGGCGUUGAAAGAACGAAGCGAGAACAAGGUGAACGGUUCGUACGACAAUAAGGUAUCGAUUAGUUAAUCAGAGAUGAAAUAAUGUAAAAUACAAGUGCAAAAGCAAGUAUACAUUAUUAUAUUUAUUAUAAUACGAGGGUUCAUCGUGUCGACGUCCACCGUCAGGGCAGGAAAUGUUCGGCGAGCGACCGCACGGUCUCUCAAGCCGAAAAGGAAAAACGAACAGACGGGUAGAGGAUUUUCACAGAGCUGAGAGACGACGUCGGGGCUCCUUUUAGAGUUUUAAACGCGAACCGCUACGCCGCUAGGGUCGAAACACACAGCUUAGGUUUUGCGCGGGACGUAUCGAAACGAGACGAAACGCGGAGCCACGCUAAACGAAGAAUGCCGAACGGACGGAUUAAAAGAUUGAGAGAAUCGAGGAAACUGAUCGAUCUCUCGCUUCGGCAGCGGUCGUUUCCUCCUUUCUCGGCGAAGGGAGGCGUGACCGAGGAUCGAUGAAUCUCCGCGAGGACAUACCAAAGGAUCGUAGAUUAAACGCGAGUAAAAGAGGAAAACAUUAUUUAUUGUUUACACUUACGUAUUCAUUAGCGAAUGACACGUACACGUAUACACCGACACACGCAAACGCGAACAAACACAGACACACACGCGUACAAAGAGCGAGAGUGAUCGAGAGAGAAUGCGAGAGAGAAAGAGUUUACGAACGUGAAACUUAGUCGAGGGAGCUACGCGUCGUUGAUUUUGCGAAAAAAAUAGGGGCGGGACGGGGUGGGGCGGGGGAGGGGGUGAUAAAGAAGGAGAGCGCAAGCGGUUGCAAAAGAAUUACACUUGUAAAUGAUGAAGUCGAAUUUUUCAGCUGAGAUCGAUCCGCCGGAAAGAUCGACGAGGGGGUAGUUUUUUCUUGUAAGCGACCACUUUGUUAGCGUCCGCUCGUCGAUCGAACGGCGACGAUCGAGGAUCUGGGAUCCAAAAAGCGUCGAUACUACGCCGUCGAGUCACGAAAUUUGAGGAUGUUCUUUCUCCCGUCGAUCGAAAUUAUUAGAUGGAAAAUUCGAUUGCAGCAUGAGAACGCGGAAUUAUGUACGUAAUAGACACGCGAGUUCUGUCGAGAUCGGAACGCGCGCGAGGGACGGGGGCGGCUGUAAACUACUGUAAACUACGAUGUUACUACGUUUUACCAAGAGCUUAUUGUAGUCGAGAACCAUUUACGAAAAAAAAAAAAAAAGAAAACACAUACACACACAUACACACGCGCACACGCGUACACACACAGACACGUAAACAAACCAAUCAACCAAAAGAAGACAGAACAAGAAGAGUAACUUACGUCGUAAAACCAAAAACAACAAAAAAAAAAACCAAUGGUAAUUGAGUGUAGCACGAAAAAAAGAAACUUCUUUACACUUUUGCACGAGACGUGUGUUGUACUUAAAUUAAUUAUCAAUUGACAUAUGUAAUUAACGUUUUAUUACUUAGCAAUUAAACUUAAUUUAUUUAUGAUUA